AGGUCAUACAAUGUUUAUAUAGAUAAAUGCACACCCGCAAUAAGACAAGUGCACCAUAACAUAUUUAAUAUUAUUUCUUAGAUUAGAUCCUUAUAAAUUAAGAUGAGUCAUAUUUGCUUCUAGAAUUCACUGAGUCACCAUAUGAAUACUCCUUAUUUUAAGUAACCUAUCAUAUAUACGCACUUGACUCUUGAACUUUAUAAUAUUGCAUGCCAAUAACAUCCAAGUAUAGUACUAUAAGAUAAGAUUAAAAAGUGCAUCAUAUUGUAUAUUGUCCAAUAACCAUAUCAUGAUCAGAAUCGAAUCUGGUAAUAAAAACACUAAACAUUUGUUAGGAAACCGCGUCUUCUUCAAUGUUUCCUUAAAACAGGCACUAACAUGUAAACUUGGAGCCAAGAGAUAUCAUAGUAUUGCAUAUCUUAUUGUAUAUAAAAUCCUACUAUACUUACGUAACACUAAAGCUAGCUUCUCUUUACAAUUUUUUUAAGGUAAAUUGAAUUCUGAAAACUCACUUAAUUUAGUGAAAGUUCAAAAUAUAAAAAGUUGCC
rnacentral:lncRNA from 1 species